UGCUGUCCGAAGCCCUUCUUCUGUUGUACUACUGGCAGUUAUGAUUAGCAGUGCAAUAUUAAAAGGGCAUUGGCUGGCAGA
rnacentral:pre_miRNA from 1 species